GACGGAAGGUGCAAGCGUUGCUCGGAAUCACUGGGCGUAAAGGGCGCGUAGGCGGCCACCGCAAGUCGACUGUGAAAUCUCCGGGCUUAACCCGGAAAGGUCAGCCGAUACUGCGGGGCUAGAGUGCAGAAGGGGCAACUGGAAUUCUCGGUGUAGCGGUGAAAUGCGUAGAUAUCGAGAGGAACACCUGCGGCGAAGGCGGGUUGCUGGGCUGACACUGACGCUGAAGCGCGAAAGCUAGGGGAGCGAACGGG
rnacentral:rRNA from 1 species